UCUGAACACUGGCAGACCCAUGGGAUACCAGAUACGGCAACUGUCAGUUCCAACCACAAAACAACCAUUUCAGCAACAGCCCACUUGAAGUGCCCACACAGAACUGGCCUCAGUGCUUGGCCUGGGGGAUGGGCAGGCUUCAAGGUGAGGAAAAAACAGACAGAGAGGAAGGCAGAGCCCAGAUUGAGAAGACAGACACACUCACAACUCAAAUACACAGAAGUAAGUGAAACACACACACACAGACGCAAAGGCACACAACACUGGCUGCUCAUAUAUCUUCAGGAACACCCUGAGCAGGCUGUCACACUGUGACAUCCAACACUUCUUCCUGUUGGAUUCCAUCACUGCCUCGGAGCACAGCUUAAGGCUAGUGGGAAACCUCUCUUCUGGACAAGGUGCCUGGACUUUGUCAGCAAGAAGCUGUCAAUGCCUGCAGAAUUUGGCCCUUCAUUUUGAGACCCCAGCAUCUAGCAUAGUGCUUGACCUACAGCAGAAGUUCAAUAAAUAUCUACUGAAUGAAUGCUAUAUACUGUUAUGGUUUACAUAGUUUACAAUGCUAUGGUUAAAAAUAUAAGCAUUCUCCAAAGGUCUACUACCUAGCGUGUACCACAAUAAAAACUGUUCAAAAGCUCAAAA